AUCAGUGGCACCAGGAAUCUGUGUUUCUUUUUGUUGUGCCAUCUUGACGUGUCAGCUUCCCCACUAGAGGAAGACCAUUCUUCAGUCAAGGGUAUACGAGUAGCUGUGCUCCCCUGUUAGAUUUUAAGAAGAUCAUCCUGGCUGAUUGUGAGAGUAUAAGAGUGAAAGCAAAAUAUCCAAUUAGAAAGAUAUCAAAGGUGUCUAGACAAGAGAUGAUGGUGGCUU
rnacentral:sRNA from 1 species